rnacentral:rRNA from 1 species
AAUGGGCGCAAGCCUGAUCCAGCCAUGCAGAGUGAGUGAUGAAGGCCCUAGGGUCGUAAAGCUCUUUCGCCUGUGAAGAUAAUGACGGUAGCAGGUAAAGAAACCCCGGCUAACUCCGUGCCAGCAGCCGCGGUAAUACGGAGGGGGUUAGCGUUGUUCGGAAUUACUGGGCGUAAGGCGCGCGUAGGCGGAUUAGUCGGUCAGAGGUGAAAUCCCAGGGCUCAACCCUGGAACUGCCUUUGAUACUGCUAGUCUUGAGUUCGAGAGAGGUAAGUGGAAUUCCGAGUGUAGAGGUGAAAUUCGUAGAUAUUCGGAGGAACACCAGUGGCGAAGGCGGCUUACUGGCUCGAUACUGACGCUGAGGUGCGAAAGUGUGGGGAGCAAACAGGAUU